rnacentral:lncRNA from 1 species
AUAUAUGUCACCGGUUAGGAUGAACAUAUCAAGGAUAAACUCCUAGGGGAGGAGUAGGAAUUAUAUUUAUCAGUUACUGGAAAGAACACCAAAGAAGAGAAUAUUUGUCACCGGUUAGGAUGAACAUAUCAAGGAUAGACUCCGUAAGGGGAAACAGGAUUUACAACUACUGGUUACUAGGCAGAAGACCACAAAAAGGAGGAAAUUCAUCAUCG